UACGUAGGGGGCAAGCGUUGUCCGGAAUCAUUGGGCGUAAAGAGCGCGUAGGCGGCCCGAUAAGUCCGCUGUGAAAGUCAAGGGCUUAACCCUUGAAUGCCGGUGGAAACUGUCGGGCUAGAGUGCGUUCGGGGCAGAGGGAAUUCCUGGUGUAGCGGUGAAAUGCGUAGAGAUCAGGAAGAACACCGGUGGCGAAAGCGCUCUGCUAGGCCGCAACUGACACUGAGGGACGAAAGCUAGGGGAGCGAAUGGG
rnacentral:rRNA from 1 species